rnacentral:rRNA from 1 species
GAUGAACGCUGGCUACAGGCUUAACACAUGCAAGUCGAGGGGAAACGACGGGGAAGCUUGCUUCCCCGGGCGUCGACCGGCGCACGGGUGAGUAACGCGUAUCCAACCUGCCUCUGACUGAGGGAUAACCCGUCGAAAGUCGGCCUAAUACCUCAUGGCAUCGUCUGCGGGCAUCCAACGACGAUUAAAGAUUUCAUCGGUCAGGGAUGGGGAUGCGUCUGAUUAGCUAGUUGGCGGGGUAACGGCCCACCAAGGCGACGAUCAGUAGGGGUUCUGAGAGGAAGGUCCCCCACAUUGGAACUGAGACACGGUCCAAACUCGUACGGGAGGCAGGAGUGAGGAAUAUUGGUCAAUGGGCGAGAGCCUGAACCAGCCAAGUAGCGUGCAGGAUGACGGGCCUAUGGGUUGUAAACUGCUUUUAUGCGGGGAUAAAGUGAGGGACGUGUCAUUCAUUGCAGGUACCGAAUGAAUAAGGAACGGCUAAUUCCGUG